GCUCAACCACUGAGCCACCCCAGCCGGACCCAUGUUAGAAUCUCCAAGUGGAAGUCAUACAAAACAGUCUGCUCCGUAUAUUAUUUUAUCGGGGAACAUGGAAGUCUUUCCAGGGUGCAGUUGGAUUCCUGGGACGUUCUUGUCCUGUGGCUGUUGGUCUGUCUGACCCAGCAGUCACCUCCGAGAUCUCCGCCAGGGAGCUGUGCCCAGAGAUGCGAACUCGAGUGCCUGUGAGAAGGCUCAGAACGGUCCACUUCUGUCCCCGGUCCACAGACGCCCGGGGACAAAGUGCUCUGCAGAUGGGCCUUCAGAGACGGUAAACACCACAAAUCUGUCGCAACCGAAGGGACGCAUUCAAGGUCCCGCUGAGAAACGUUACCCGAGUGGAGGAUCAUCGGUGACUCGACUGAGCCUGGGACCGCUCAUCGGUGACUGUGAGGUUCAACGCCCUUGGAGAUAAGAGACCUUGCUGUACACAGACUGCGAUUUCGCCAUUUCAGCAAACAUUUAUCGGGCCGCCCGGGUCACCUGCUUCCUUUGAUGGCCCGAACCGUUCUGACAGACUCCGUGGCACUGCCCGACGGGGCUGAAGUCUCAGAAGUUGGCUAGUUUGGCUGCCUACCCGGUGCCCCCCACCCCUCCCCU